UACAUAGGUCCCAAGCGUUGUUCGGAUUCAUUGGGCGUAAAGGGUGCGUAGGCGGCGCGGUAAGUCGGGUGUGAAAUCUCGGGGCUUAACUCCGAAACUGCAUUCGAUACUGCCGUGCUUGAGGACUGGAGAGGAGACUGGAAUUUACGGUGUAGCGGUGAAAUGCGUAGAUAUCGUAAGGAAGACCAGUGGCGAAGGCGGGUCUCUGGACAGUUCCUGACGCUGAGGCACGAAGGCCAGGGGAGCAAACGGG
rnacentral:rRNA from 1 species